rnacentral:lncRNA from 1 species
CAAGGUUCCUGUGUGCGUGCCCAUGUGUGUGGCAGCACCACAGGGAGGAGAGAGCAAGUCCCCAUAUCCAGCUCGAGGCUCAUACUGACAGGGGCCUUUUGUCUGGGAGAGCAGGAUGAGGGGCAGCAUUUGGCGCUGACUAGAGGAUCGGUCCUGCCUUGCUUUCUUGUUUCGUGAUCCAGUACAAUGGUUGGCAGCAGCUGUGGCCAGUAGGUUACCUCGUCCAACCUGCCCACUGUACAAUAGGAACCUGAGGACUCCAGAUGGGAAGUGGCUUGCUCAAGGUCACACAGGGAGGCAAGGCUAAAGGCUGCCUCAGAGUCUAGUAGGCUGACAUUCUUGCUCUGACUGUGGGGUCCCAGAUGAAGAGCAUGAAGCCCUCCUUCCCUGGCUCAUGUAGGGGAGUCAAAUCCCCUCCUACUCAACGGCUGCCUUUCUGCGAGGCAGGUGGAGAGAAGGAGGCCCAAGCCGCACACCAGAAGGCAGUGGAGGACUUCACCACAAUGCAGAGAAGCCACAUGGGGUGCACCAGAAAACCCACUUCAAACCUGAAGAUGGUGGAGAGUUCCACCCCUAGAGAUGCCCAAAUAAGGUCAUAUGAACUACUGCUACAGUGUGAGGAUCUCAAAUUAGAUGCCAGGAGGGAACUCAGGGAAAACAAGAUCACUAGCUGGUGGGUCUGGGCUUGUGGGGAUGGGCUGGCUCCUUGGUGGCCCAGCUGCCCUGCUCCAGAGGAAGGUCAAGGACAAGUAGUGUUGGGGCAGGACAAGGAGAGAUGGGCACUGGGUCCUCGUGGACUUUUCUUCUAGAUGCCUCCCCUUCUCAUGCAGCUGUCUUACUGUCCCCCAAUGGAGUGUGGUCUCCGAGGGAUGGAGGGACUCAUAGGGUGGGGGACUGGAAGACAGGGAGGGUGGGUUCUGCUAAGCCCCGGCUUCUGGCUGCCCAGCGUGUCAGUUUAUUAUUGGCCUGGGUAACAGCUGGGAAUGACAAGGACACCCUGGAGAAGGGAGUGGAGUGAGAUCGGGGCCAUCCUAAGCUCCCAAGAUCUUCCAAAACGCCAUCUGGUGGGGCCAAGGAAGGCAGGGGGGUGACAGGAAUGCCUCUGCGCACCCCGCCCCUAAGCCCUGAACAAACCUGGCAAGUCCCAAAAGAAAGGACCCUGGGCCUCUGAAGGAGCAUUUCUGUCCUUCAGACGUGUGUGGGAAACAUUUGUUGCCCAAAUGCCUGGACACGGGGGAGUGGGAGAAAGCUGAACCAGCACAAAGAGGGCUUUUUAGUGGUCAAUCCACCCUGGACCAGGUGGUGGCUUGCUCAGAAAAAAGCAUGACAAGGACAGAGCAGUAGCUGGGGACCCUUGAGCCACAUUCCACUCCCAAUAAAAUAUGCCUCAUGAUCCUUUCAGCGGUGGCUCUCUCUGAAAUGCAUUGCCACCUUCUACAUGACAUUGCUCCUUCAGCCAGGGUCCCUUAUGGUUCACCCAAAUUGAGUGACAGUAAGCCCUAGAGCCAAGGACACAGGUGCCUUUCCCACUUGAGAAGAACCUGUAAUGUAAGGGUUCUUCUCAUGGUGGGGGGGGGGGCUCAGGACAGGAAGGAAGGAAGGAAGGAGGAGUUAGGGAGCUGGUUUACUGAGCCUGGAUCCUCUGGAGAUCCCUGAGGAAAUGCGUGGAUCCCUCCAGUGGGAGGAGGUGAGGUGCCUCCAGAUGAACCAUGUUGCCAGAAGUUUCUUAGCUUCACCACGGGACCUUCAAAAUCUGCCUCCAUUGCCGUCACCUCUGGGGAAGCUGCUGGUUUGUGGCAUCUGACUCAGUCUUCUUCAGAGACUCUUGGAGAUGGGGUCAGACUGAAGAGAUAACCAGAAACCUCUCCAUCUUUAUCUCAAAUGGGAGCUCCUACUCAGGGAACUCAGAGGUACUGAGUUCUGAGUAAAACAAGAGGAACAAGAAGAUCUUUUGCUUAGAGAGGGACAAGAGUUUCAGCUCCACACCUACUCAGGGAAAAAUAGAAAGUGCAAGGAUCCUGUAGCCACCAAAGACAUUGACUCAGUUACAAGUCAUCCUCAGAAAUAGCCAGCCAAGAUGGCUUUACCGAUGACUGCUACCAAAUGUUCAAGGAACAGAUAAGUCCUUUAGACACAACUGUCAGAAAAUGGAAUGAGCCAAACUCCCCAGCUCGUUUUUAUGAGGCUACCAGAACCUUGAUACCCCAGAUCAGUUUAUCAUCAGCCUGGGCAACAGCUGGGGUGGCCAACGGGUCACCCAGCUCAACCUAGAGUGUGG